GUUGGUGUAGCUCAUUGGUAGAGCGCAUGCUUUGUAUGUAUGAUGUCCUGGGUUCAAUGCUUCUCCCGAGGUCGCCU